UGCAGUCGAGGGGUAUGCUUCUUCGGAAGCAGAGACCGGCGCACGGGUGCGUAACGCGUAUGCAAUCUACCUUUUACAGAGGGAUAGCCCAGAGAAAUUUGGAUUAAUACCUCAUAGCAUAGCARCUUCGCAUGAAGUCACUAUUAAAGUCACAACGGUAAAAGAUGAGCAUGCGUCCCAUUAGCUAGUUGGUAAGGUAACGGCUUACCAAGGCUACGAUGGGUAGGGGUCCUGAGAGGGAGAUCCCCCACACUGGUACUGAGACACGGACCAGACUCCUACGGGAGGCAGCAGUGAGGAAUAUUGGACAAUGGGCGCAAGCCUGAUCCAGCCAUGCCGCGUGCAGGAUGACGGUCCUAUGGAUUGUAAACUGCUUUUAUACAGGAAGAAACCCUGGUUCGUGAACCAGCUUGACGGUACUGUAAGAAUAAGGAUCGGCUAACUCCGUGCCAGCAGCCGCGGUAAUACGGAGGAUCCAAGCGUUAUCCGGAAUCAUUGGGUUUAAAGGGUCCGUAGGCGGUUUAGUAAGUCAGUGGUGAAAGCCCAUCGCUCAACGGUGGAACGGCCAUUGAUACUGCUAAACUUGAAUUAUUAGGAAGUAACUAGAAUAUGUAGUGUAGCGGUGAAAUGCUUAGAGAUUACAUGGAAUACCAAUUGCGAAGGCAGGUUACUACUAAUAUAUUGACGCUGAUGGACGAAAGCGUGGGUAGCGAACAGGAUUAGAUACCCUGGUAGUCCACGCCGUAAACGAUGGAUACUAGCUGUUGGGAGCAAUCUCAGUGGCUAAGCGAAAGUGAUAAGUAUCCCACCUGGGGAGUACGUUCGCAAGAAUGAAACUCAAAGGAAUUGACGGGGGCCCGCACAAGCGGUGGAGCAUGUGGUUUAAUUCGAUGAUACGCGAGGAACCUUACCAAGGCUUAAAUGUAGUUUGACCGAUUUGGAAACAGAUUUUUCGCAAGACAAAUUACAAGGUGCUGCAUGGUUGUCGUCAGCUCGUGCCGUGAGGUGUCAGGUUAAGUCCUAUAACGAGCGCAACCCCUGUUGUUAGUUGCCAGCGAGUCAUGUCGGGAACUCUAACAAGACUGCCAGUGCAACUGUGAGGAAGGUGGGGAUGACGUCAAAUCAUCMCGGCCCUUACGCCUGGGCUA
rnacentral:rRNA from 1 species